AAUUUGAUGGUUUGUUUGUUUCUCUCCGCCCCAUGCCCUCACGGGUGGUGGGUUGGACGUCAGGCAAGCCUCGUGUUCCUGGCAUGCCUCGCCCAUUCGCUUGGCUGCCUUGGCCCAUGAGGCUCUUUGCCCGUGCUCUCGGAUCCGGAAUGUUAUGUGCUCCGGGCGGGUGGCCUCCGAGAGGCCUCCAUCCAAUCGAGCAAUGCAUUUUGUCCAACGACAUGAACGACUGCCGCACCCGUCCUUGGGCCUGCAGCCUCACGGCUCGGCGGGGCUCAUG
rnacentral:misc_RNA from 1 species